rnacentral:rRNA from 1 species
AUUGAACGCUGGCGGCAGGCCUAACACAUGCAAGUCGAACGAGUGGCGGACGGGUGAGUAAUGUCUGGGACACUGCCAGAUGGAGGGGGAUACCUACUGGAAACGGUAGCUAAUACCGACGACCAUUCGAUGUGCCCAGUUGGGAUUAGCUUGUUGGUGGGGUAACGGCUCACCAAGGAGACGAUCCCUAGCUGGUAUGAGAGGAUGACCAGCCACACUGGAACUGAGACACGGUCCAGACUCCUACGGGAGGCAGCAGUGGGGAAUCUUGCGCAAUGGGCGCAAGCCUGAUGCAGCCAUGCCGCGUGUAUGAAGAAGGCCUUCGGGUUGUAAAGUACUUUCAGCAGGGAGGCGUUACCCACAGAAGAAGCACCGGCUAACUCCGUGCCAGCAGCCGCGGUAAUAC